AGUGAACGCUGGCGGUAGGCCUGACACAUGCAAGUCGAACGGCAGCACAGUAAGAGCUUGCUCUUACGGGUGGCGAGUGGCGGACGGGUGAGGAAUACAUCGGAAUCUACUUUUUCGUGGGGGAUAACGUAGGGAAACUUACGCUAAUACCGCAUACGACCUACGGGUGGAAGCAGGGGAUCUUCGGACCUUGCGCGAUUGAAUGAGCCGAUGUCGGAUUAGCUAGUUGGCAGGGUAAAGGCCCACCAAGGCGACGAUCCGUAGCUGGUCUGAGAGGAUGAUCAGCCACACUGGAACUGAGACACGGUCCAGACUCCUACGGGAGGCAGCAGUGGGGAAUAUUGGACAAUGGGCGAAAGCCUGAUCCAGCCAUACCGCGUGGGUGAAGAAGGCCUUCGGGUUGUAAAGCCCUUUUGUUUGGAAAGAAAAGCAGCAGGUUAAUACCCCGCUGUUCUGACGGUACCCAAAGAAUAAGCACCGGCUAACUUCGUG
rnacentral:rRNA from 1 species